UUACGAAAUGCAGAUUUACAUCAAUUAAACAUGCAAAAUGUAUCUAAAUAUUCCUAAGCUAAAAGCCAUUCGUUGCUCUUUUCCGUCAUUGCAUUGAUAUGAAAACAAUAGUAUAAUUUAGAGUGGCUAUAGCCUACCCUUAUUUCUGGAAAUAAGUGUUAUUUUGCCUCCACUAAUUAUUAACAAAUAAACACAAACGCAAAAAAACGACUAAAACAUUCAAACUGUUUGUCAACAAAAUACAAUUAAAUCCAUUACUGUAGUCAAAAACAAAUUUAGCCACAUAUUAGUAGUUUGAGAACAUUAUUUUGAUAGAUAAUUUUUGAAGAAAGGCGGUUUAGUUAGAUAACUCUUUUAGUACGCUAUAUUGGUUGCCAACUGAAACACGCUAACAACGAGUUGGUUAGAGAGAGGGAGGGAGAGAGAGAAGGAGAAAGAGAGAGAAUGGUUGAGUACGAGGUAGAAAUAUCCCUAAUUAUUUUUCUUAACGACCUAACGGUUUGCGAACGACAAUAAACGCUUUUUGUUUUGCAGCUAAAGAGUAGGCAAAGGCUAGUUACUCUUUACCACGGAGUAAAGCGCACCUCAUCCACCUGUGCAGAGGAGAAACCCUGAAACACACGCCACCUAUCUUCACGGGAGGGGAUAAUUGAGGAGCACCAAACGUGAGCAUCUUCUGGGAAACGUUCUAAGUUUUUUUCUUCUUUAUCUCUGUCCUCUCUCCCUCUCUCUUUGAUCUGAGUGAAAUGAACUAUGCCGGACUACCGUGCAGCCGAAGAGAGAAUGAUAUUUGAAGAAAGUUGGAAGGCUCAACGACAAUCACCACAACUCUGUGCAGUUGCAGGUAAUGAAUCUGCAUCUGUCAGGAGCGCCAUUUGAUACAUUUGCAAUGUUAAACAGAGAGCGGAGCAACUCAACAGGGGAAAUGAAAGCAGACAUUAAGGACACACAGAGAGAUGAGAGGGAGAGAGCACGAUGUGUCUUCCUGAGCCUGGUUCAGUGGGAGAGAGGCGCUGGUAAAUCUGGAUCAAAACCCAGGCACAACAGGAGGCCUACGUCUCCCAGGUAAUGGCUAAAUGACGAGCACAUGGGCUGUCACCAUAUCGAUUCAAGCAUUUCAUUCUAGCCAGUCACAAUUAACUCUGACUUUAUCAUCCCUUUCAACGUGAAAGAAUGACAAACUGAAUCACAAUAUCUGGGUGAGGUCUGAAACUGAAAAUCUCCUUGUGUUUAUGACUGAACCUGCAGCUACAUACCAAAUACAUGUUUACCUCUGUCACAUGAUUUAGUGUAAAUGCAUAUCCAUAAAAUGCAGUUCAUAGGCUGUCUAAAAGGAUGCUUAUUUUUAGAACAAACAUUUCUGGGCCUGUGUCCACACAACAACGACAAAAAUACAUGUGCUGUUCAACCAUCUGCUUUACGUUGCAAUUUUUUUUUACUUAAGGCUUUGCCACCCAUAGAUGGGUUGGAUAUGUUCUGAGCUGGGAGUGUGCUCGUGGGUUUGUGACUGGAGGCUUUUAGAGCUGAAUCUGACCUGGCCUUGGCCA